UGACAGGCAGCUCACUCGGUCCAGCAGAAAUCUGAGGACGAAUGAGGAACCGAUGCCAUUAGCCUCCCACCUGGUGAUGCUGCCUGCGUGCUUUCUCACUCUUGUUCUCCCACAGCCUCGCCAAUUCGCACGUCACAUGAUGCCCUCACCUGAAGAAAUCAUGGGACAGUAAGGUGCUGAGUGCUGGCCGACACUUCGGCGUGGGAUUCAGCAGAGCUGAGUGCAGGGUCUGUAGGAAGCUGGAGAGAACAUCCGCUGAAACUGAAAUCCAGAGCUACAGUUAGUUCCAGGCCUUCUCCCUCUUUCCGGACCUCUCUAGCUGGAGACUGAUGAGAGCAAAAACCAACCUGUAAAAGCCCAAGCAAACAGAGCCCUGGCUGUUGCUACAUGACUUCUGCUGGUUUAGGCCAGACGCCUUGGCAGGUAUCCAAAGCUGUCUUGUCGGCACAGCCCAUAGUACCCCAGGGGCCUCCCUUCUCCAUGCUCCCAUUUCCUGAUUGUUAACACACUCUGAUCCAAAAAGAAUGGUUCAAAAGGUG